UACGUAGGGGGCUAGCGUUGUCCGGAUUUAUUGGGCGUAAAGAGCGUGUAGGCGGCCAGGUAGGUCUGGUGUGAAAACUCGAGGCUUAACCUCGAGAUGUCAUCGGAAACCAUCUGGCUAGAGUCCGGAAGAGGAGAGUGGAAUUCCUGGUGUAGCGGUGAAAUGCGUAGAUAUCUGGAGGAACACCGGUGGCGAAGGCGGCAUCCUGGACCGACAUUGACGCUGAGGCGCGAAAGCCAGGGGAGCGAACAGG
rnacentral:rRNA from 1 species